GGAUGACGUCAACCAUGGGGAGGUGUAGUCUAACGGCUAGGGGGAUGAUGUCAACCAUGGGGAGGUGUAGUCUAACGUGUAGGGGAUGACGUCAACCAUGGAGGUGUAGUCUAAUGGGGUGACGUCAACCAUUGGGAGGUGUAGUCUAAGGGGAUGACGUCAACCAUGGGGAGGUGUAGUCUAAUGGCUAAGGGGGAUGACGUCAACCAUGGCGAGGUGUAGUCUAACGGCUAGGGGGAUGACGUCAACCAUGGGGAGGUGUAGUCGAACGGCUAGGGGAUGACGUCAAGCAUGGGGAGGUGUAGUCUAACGGCUAGGGGGAUGACGUCAACCAUGGGGAGGUGUAGUCUAACGGCUAGGGGGAUGACGUCAACCAUGGCGAGGUGUAGUCUAAUGGCUAAGGGGGAUGACGUCAACCAUGGGGAGGUGUAGUCUAACGUGUAGGGGAUGACGUCAACCAUGGAGGUGUAGUCUAAUGGGGUGACGUCAACCAUUGGGAGGUGUAGUCUAAGGGGAUGACGUCAACCAUGGGGAGGUGUAGUCUAAUGGCUAAGGGGGAUGACGUCAACCAUGGCGAGGUGUAGUCUAACGGCUAGGGGGAUGACGUCAACCAUGGGGAGGUGUAGUCGAACGGCUAGGGGAUGACGUCAAGCAUGGGGAGGUGUAGUCUAACGGCUAGGGGGAUGACGUCAACCAUGGGGAGGUGUAGUCUAACGGCUAGGGGGAUGACGUCAACCAUGGCGAGGUGUAGUCUAACGGCUAGGGGGAUGACGUCAACUAUGGGGAUGACGUCAACUAUGGGGAGGUGUUGUCUAAGGGGAUGACGUCAACCAUGGGGAGGUGUAGUCUAACAGGAUGACGUCAACCAUGGGGAGGUGUAGUCUAAGGGGAUGACGUCAACCAUGGGGAGGUGUAU